rnacentral:piRNA from 1 species
UAAAGGGUUGAAAUGUUGCAAAGUACUGG